GGCCGCGUGCGGGUUGAACGUCUCGGAUGUGAGCAACACGCUGGCCCCACGAAGUGCUUCGCGAAAGAACGCUGGCGUAACAGAGUCGCGUGAAUAUCGCACGUUCCACGUCAGCCGGUGAAAGCGUAGAGUGUUUUACAGCCGCUGUCAGGUGUCAUUGCUGCCAUUAUCAGUUGGCGGCAAAUUCAAAUAACUGUGUGUGCGCCGGCGUGGUGUGCGGCGCGAGUAGCUGGAGCAACACGCCGCCGGGAGAGGUCUUUGGCCGGUGGUGCCGGGUGAUGGAGCCAUUUGACAAUCGUUGUGACGCGGAGGGUGAACGGCGCCCAUGAGGAAUCUUCCAUCUUCACUAUCAAG